rnacentral:rRNA from 1 species
CCGCCUUCAUGGCCGCCGGGGGGCUUCUGCCCCCGGGCCCGCGCCCGCCGGAGACUCCAACAUUGAACACUGUCUGAAGGUUGCAGUCUGAGUUUUCAUAUAAGAAAAAUCGUUAAAACUUUCAACAACGGAUCUCUUGGUUCCGGCAUCGAUGAAGAACGCAGCGAAAUGCGAUACGUAAUGUGAAUUGCAGAAUUCAGUGAAUCAUCGAGUCUUUGAACGCACAUUGCGCCCUCUGGUAUUCCGGGGGGCAUGCCUGUCCGAGCGUCAUUGCUGCCCUCAAGCACGGCUUGUGUGUUGGGCCCCCGUCCCGGUUCUUUAAGCCGGGACGGGCCCGAAAGGCAGCGGCGGCACCGUGUCCGGUCCUCGAGUGUAUGGGGCUCUGUCACCCACUCGUGUAGGUCCGGCCGGCGGCCAGCCUCUUCAACCAAACUUUUAACCAGGUUGACCUCGGAUCAGGUAGGGAUACCCGCUGAACUUA